UGGGGAAUCUUGGACAAUGGGGGCAACCCUGAUCCAGCCAUGCCGCGUGAGUGAUGAAGGCCUUAGGGUCGUAAAGCUCUUUCGCCUGUGAAGAUAAUGACGGUAGCAGGUAAAGAAACCCCGGCUAACUCCGUGCCAGCAGCCGCGGUAAUACGGAGGGGGUUAGCGUUGUUCGGAAUUACUGGGCGUAAAGCGCACGUAGGCGGACCAGAAAGUUGGGGGUGAAAUCCCGGGGGCUCAACCCCGGAACUGCCUCCAAAACUAUUGGUCUAGAGUUCGAGAGAGGUGAGUGGAAUUCCAAGUGUAGAGGUGAAAUUCGUAGAUAUUUGGAGGAACACCAGUGGCGAAGGCGGCUCACUGGCUCGAUACUGACGCUGAGGUGCGAAAGUGUGGGGAGCAAACAGGAUUAGAUACCCUGGGUAGUCCACACCGUAAAACGAUGAAUGCCAGUCGUCGGGUAGCAUGCUAUUCGGUGACACACCUAACGGAUUAAGCAUUCCGCCUGGGG
rnacentral:rRNA from 1 species